rnacentral:rRNA from 1 species
AUGGUGCACUGCAAGCAGCCGCGCAGGACGCCCGGCGUCCCCGGGAACGGGGGUCGCGCGCGCGCCGGGGGCGGGGGCCAGGCCGUGGCGGCCGACCCCGGCUACAUGCGACCGACCAGCAGCUCCGGCGCCAGGGCCGGCCGGGAGGUUGCAUCUGCGGCGGCGGUUUCGGCGGCCUCCGCUCCCUCCGCGCAGACGUUGCUGACCAAGGCGGCAGCGCUCGGAGGGAGCACGCCGCUGGCGGCCAGGCAGACCUGCUCCUCCGCCCAGAAGGGCGCCCGCGCCCUCGGCGGUGGCGGCGGGGGCUGCGAGGGGCACCGCGCCUGCCGGUACGCCUACUGCACCUUCAAGGGCCACGCGCCCGCGGCGCCGCCGCUGGGGGCCUUCCUGGCGUCCCGCAGGAGCCUCAUCAAGACGGAGCAGAGCAUGAAGCACAGGGGGGUCUCCGCCUUCCGCAACCCCAGCAGCAAUGCCGCCCGCAAAGGAGACGACGGGCUCUUCGUCCAGGUGGCGUGUCCCGGCGCCCGCCCCAAGACGGCGAGCUCGGGCUCCUGCUGCAGCGGCCUCUCCGCCGAGGAGGUGGAGUCUCCCUACGUCAACUUCGGCCGCCGGAGUCUCCGGGGUGGGACGACGGACAAGUGGGGCGCCUCGGUGGACGGCUCCUGCGGGUCCAGCGACGUCAUCUCGGACGGCUUCGCCGACCUGCCAGGGACGGCGAGCUCUCCCUCUCCCUCUCCCGGACGCAAGGAGCAGACUGGUCAAGAUGAGAGGAAGGCUUCUUGGGUCGAUCAACAAGAAGCAGAGGAGGAGGACUCUGCUGCCUGCUGCAGGUCUGAUAUCUCAGAGGAGCUGGGUCCAAGAUACCAAGGCAACAGCAUGUCUAAAGAUUGCGGCGGCGUUGUCGGCUCUUCACUGGAAUCCUCAAUGGAUGACAUAUCCAGUGCAUUUGGUGGGAUGAAUUUCCAAGAUGCAGGGGCUGAUGCCGCGGCGGCAACCAGCCAGGGAAACAAGCUGACCAUGUCCAGGAGAAGAACACCUAGAGGCGGGGAGCGAAUCCGGGCAUUCAACCCCAGGGCCCCGAACUUUCUUCCGGUGGUGCCUGAUCCGGAUGCUGAAAAGGUUGACCUCAGGCAUCAGAUGACCGAUGAUCGCAAGAAUGCCGAGGAGUGGAUGGUCGAUUAUGCACUCCGGAGGACAGUGAACAAGUUGGCCCGUGCUCAGAAGAGGAAGGUGGAGAUGCUUGUCCAGGCCUUUGAGACUGUUCUGCCACCGGUCCUCGGCGAGAAGAAGUCCGACGACAAGAAAAGCUUUGCCUGCAACUUAUAG